CUGCGAUUUGAUUUUUAGCUGAGCUUGUGAUUUUCUUUUUGGGGAAGAGGAGAGAAAAACUGAAGCAACUUUUAUUAGAAAAAGUGGAAGAUUUCUUUUGUUGGAGAAGGAGAAUCCUGUAGAAUAUGAAGAAAAACCAUAGUGCUCUCCUGUUUGUCCCAGACAAGUAUAAUUCUUAAUGAUUAUCACUUUUCAAGGAUUGGAAGAUUCCUUAAUGAGAUAAAAAUUGCCUGUAUGUCUCAGCUCUACUGAGUAGCUCUAGUGAGCAACAAAUCUUCCAAUUCCACUUGCAAAUUCCACUGGAGUCCUCAGAGUUUUGAGGAAUUAGGUGAUUCUUCAAAUGAAUCCAUAACCCAUUGUUGCCCUGGACGUAUUUAAUAACAGAAUUCUGGGAGUGUAAGAUUAAGAGACACAACUCUUCAGUCUUUGCCCAAACAGUUUUAUUAUUGGAAUGAUUCAUGCACUGGGAGUCAUUGAAAUUGAUCAUUAGUAAUUUAUAUUCUUCGCAGACAGAGCUUUUUGAGGUUCCUUUCCUUAGCUGUUCAGUGUCAGUUGUCCAAUGAAAGCUGCCAGUUGUUCAAUGGACAUUUUCUUCAAUUCUCUAAGAAAUUUACAGUCCUGAAAACAUUCUAGGGCCGCGGGGAGUUGAGAUGUGACUCUGCUGGUUUUAGCAAGCUGUGCGUGACUGAAUAUAUAAUGCAUUAAAGCUAGUCUGAGACACAAUGUGCCAAUCAAUAGCAAUGCAGUGUGUGCUGAACAGGAAGAUUUAAUAGUAGCUUAGCUUUGUAACUAGAGGUGAGACACAAGUCACACUGGGGAGGGGGGAACCUGGGCUGGCAGGUUUCCCGCUGGGUUUAGCAACAGCCUGGCCAUGAAGUGGGUGCUGGUACUGGCCUGGGUGCCUGGCGCAGAAUUCAGAGUUGUGCUCCAGCACUUCUGCUCUCCUCACCUGUUGUCACAUGUGGAGUUGAUGUAAAAAGAAGCUGAUUUAUGCCUUACCAGGUCAUAGGACUUUGGGCUUGAAGGGAGUUCUCAGGCUCGGGGGAUGCUCAAAAGUCCCAGCUGGGCAGCUUGCAAUCUCCGGCCUCUCCCCAGAUUCCAGUCCUGGUACCGAGUGGGGAUGUGCCAAGAACAAGGCAGUUUCUUGUCCCAGAGGGUUGGAGCAGGAUAAGGGUUCAAUAUCCUGCACUGGGCAUGAGGUCAGGGCCAGCCUGCAGAGAGGGGGCCCCAGCUUGGCAGAGAACAGGCCUGGCAGAGACUGGGAACUGGGCUGGGUCUGAUGGCUCCCAGAGAAAAAGGUAAACAUGAGGAAGUGAGUUUGAGCUCGAACUGAUGACCUCAGCCGAUUCGUGGGAAGAUGAUGACCUCUGCUUUUAAGAUUAUCACAGGCCAGGAGUGCCGGGGGAGUAGCUCAGUGGUUGAGAGUCUGCCUUCAGCUCAGGGUGUGAUCCCGGGGUCCAGGGAUCGAGUCCCACAUUAGGCUCCCCAUGGAGAACCUGCUUCUCCCUCUGCCUAUGUCUCUGCCUCUCUCAUGAAUGAAUGAAUAAAUAAAUAAAUCUUAAAAAAAAUAAAAGAUUA
rnacentral:lncRNA from 12 species